rnacentral:rRNA from 1 species
GAUGAACGCUGGCGGCGUGCCUAAUACAUGCAAGUCGAGCGAACAGACGAGGAGCUUGCUCCUCUGACGUUAGCGGCGGACGGGUGAGUAACACGUGGAUAACCUACCUAUAAGACUGGGAUAACUUCGGGAAACCGGAGCUAAUACCGGAUAAUAUAUUGAACCGCAUGGUUCAAUAGUGAAAGACGGUUUUGCUGUCACUUAUAGAUGGAUCCGCGCCGCAUUAGCUAGUUGGUAAGGUAACGGCUUACCAAGGCGACGAUGCGUAGCCGACCUGAGAGGGUGAUCGGCCACACUGGAACUGAGACACGGUCCAGACUCCUACGGGAGGCAGCAGUAGGGAAUCUUCCGCAAUGGGCGAAAGCCUGACGGAGAAACGCCGCGUGAGUGAUGAAGGUAUUCGGAUCGUAAAACUCUGUUAUUAGGGAAGAACAAAUGUGUAAGUAACUAUGCACGUCUUGACGGUACCUAAUCAGAAAGCCACGGCUAACUACGUG